AGGAUAAACGCUGGCGGCGUGCCUAACACAUGCAAGUCGAACGCCCUACGCAAGUAGGGAGUGGCGGACGGGUGAGGAACACGUGGGUUAUCUGCCUUUCGGUGAGGAAUACCAGCGAGAAAUCGCUGACAAUACCGCAUACGGUUCUUUCGAGAGAGAGAACGAAAGUCGCAAGACGCCGGGAGAUGAGCCUGCGCCCGAUUAGUUAGUUGGUGGGGUAAAAGCCUACCAAGACUGCAAUCGGUAGCUGGUCUGAGAGGACGAUCAGCCACACUGGGAUUGAGAACGGCCCAGACUCCUACGGGGGGCAGCAGUGAGGAAUUUUCGUCAAUGGGGGAAACCCUGAACGAGCAACGCCGCGUGCAGGAAGAAGGUCUUCGGAUCGUAAACUGCUUUUCUGUGGGAAGAGGAACGGACGGUACCACAGGAAGAAGCCCCGGCUAACUACGUGCCAGCAGCCGCGGC
rnacentral:rRNA from 1 species